AGUGAACGCUGGCGGUAGGCCUAACACAUGCAAGUCGUACGGCAGCACAGUAAGAGCUUGCUCUUACGGGUGGCGAGUGGCGGACGGGUGAGGAAUACAUCGGAAUCUACUUUUUCGUGGGGGAUAACGUAGGGAAACUUACGCUAAUACCGCAUACGACCUACGGGUGAAAGCAGGGGAUCUUCGGACCUCGCGCGAUUGAAUGAGCCGAUGUCGGAUUAGCUAGUUGGCGGGGUAAAGGCCCACCAAGGCGACGAUCCGUAGCUGGUCUGAGAGGAUGAUCAGCCACACUGGAACUGAGACACGGUCCAGACUCCUACGGGAGGCAGCAGUGGGGAAUAUUGGACAAUGGGCGCAAGCCUGAUCCAGCCAUGCCGCGUGUGUGAAGAAGGCCUUCGGGUUGUAAAGCCCUUUUGUUGGGAAAGAAAAGCAGCAGGUUAAUACCCCGCUGUUCUGACGGUACCCAAAGAAUAAGCACCGGCUAACUUCGUG
rnacentral:rRNA from 1 species